UGCUCCUACGGGACGCAGCAGUGGGGAAUAUUGGGCAAUGGGCGCAAGCCUGACCCAGCAACGCCGCGUGAAGGAAGAAGGCUUUCGGGUUGUAAACUUCUUUUCUCAGGGACGAAGCAAGUGACGGUACCUGAGGAAUAAGCCACGGCUAACUACGUGCCAGCAGCCGCGGUAAUACGUUGGUGGCAAGCGUUAUCCGGAUUUACUGGGUGUAAAGGGCGUGUAGGCGGG
rnacentral:rRNA from 1 species